CCUACGGGGGGCUGCAGUGGGGAAUAUUGGACAAUGGGUGAAAGCCUGAUCCAGCCAUGCCGCGUGUGUGAAGAAGGCCUUCGGGUUGUAAAGCACUUUCAGUGGGGAAGAAAGCCUUGGGGCUAAUACCCUCGAGGAAGGACAUCACCCACAGAAGAAGCACCGGCUAACUCCGUGCCAGCAGCCGCGGUAAUACGGAGGGUGCGAGCGUUAAUCGGAAUUACUGGGCGUAAAGCGCGCGUAGGCGGUCUGAUAAGCCGGUUGUGAAAGCCCCGGGCUCAACCUGGGAACGGCAUCCGGAACUGUCAGGCUAGAGUGCAGGAGAGGAAGGUAGAAUUCCCGGUGUAGCGGUGAAAUGCGUAGAGAUCGGGAGGAAUACCAGUGGCGAAGGCGGCCUUCUGGACUGACACUGACGCUGAGGUGCGAAAGCGUGGGUAGCAAACAGGAUUAGAUACCCGAGUAGUC
rnacentral:rRNA from 1 species